AUACAUUGUUGUUUCACAUUUUUGUAGACCAGAACUAGCUACUACGGGACAUGUUUUCUGCUCUAGAACAACUUGGAUAUAGCAAUUGAGAUGCAAUCAAAAGGAGAUUUGAUGAUCUGCAUGUUGCCUAUAUCAAGGAUCAACUCAAAGUCUUCCUUUAAAUUCAUAAUUUUGCUCCCUCUCCACUUCCUAAGAUGCUACCUUGGUAG
rnacentral:lncRNA from 1 species